rnacentral:lncRNA from 1 species
GUCAUGUGUAAAUAUUGAGGCCCGUUUGAACUAUCCCUGUGCGGAAAAAAAGGCCUGUUUUUCACAGGGCUGCCUGGGGAGGAGGGGGGUGGAAAGGAAAACAGGCAGGGGACAGACGGACCCGGCCUGCGUUGGCCUGGGGUGACUUCACGGCUCCACUGUCAGCAAGCGGCCGUCCCGUGGUGGAUCCUGUCCGCCCUGCGAGGACACCUGGCUCCAUCCACACCUGGGCCUCUGUCUCCAGCCGCCGAGGCCGUGACACCAUGAGGAUCAUAAUCUAUCUACCGCCGGGGAGCCAGAAGAUGGAGGAAGCUGUACCGUGCCAACGGCCACCUCUUCCAAGCCAAGCGCUUUAACAGGAGAGCGUACUGCGGUCAGUGCAGCGAGAGGAUAUGGGGCCUCGCGAGGCAAGGCUACAGGUGCAUCAACUGCAAACUGCUGGUCCAUAAGCGCUGCCACGGCCUCGUCCCGCUGACCUGCAGGAAGCAUAUGGAUUCUGUCAUGCCUUCCCAAGAGCCUCCAGUAGACGACAAGAACGAGGACGCCGACCUUCCUUCCGAGGAG